rnacentral:rRNA from 1 species
AACGAACGCUGGCGGCAGGCCUAACACAUGCAAGUCGAACGCCCUAGCAAUAGGGAGUGGCAGACGGGUGAGUAACGCGUGGGAACCUUCCUUAUGGUGCGGAAUAACUCGCCGAAAGGCGUGCUAAUACCGCAUAAGCCCGCAAGGGAAGAUUCAUCGCCAUAAGAUGGGCCCGCGUAGGAUUAGCUAGUUGGUGAGGUAACGGCCCACCAAGGCUAC